rnacentral:rRNA from 1 species
GCACAAGCGGUGGAGCAUGUGGUUCAAUUCGAAGCAACGCGCAGAACCUUACCAACCUUUGGCAUGUCCAGUAUGGGCUCCAGAGAUGGGGUUCUUCAGUUCGGCUGGCUGGAACACAGGUGCUGCAUGGCUGUCGUCAGCUCGUGUCGUGAGAUGUUGGGUUAAGUCCCGCAACGAGCGCAACCCUCGCCCCUAGUUGCCAUCAUUCAGUUGGGCACUCUAAUGAGACUGCCGGUGGUGAACCGGAGGAAGGGGGGGAUGACGUCAAGUCCUCAUGGCUCUUACGUCUGGGGCUACGCACGUGCUACAAUGGCCGGUACAAAGGGUUGCAAGACCGCGAGGUGGAGCCAAUCCCAAAAAGCCGGCCUCAGUUCGGGUCGGAGUCUGCAACUCGACUCCGUGAAGUCGGAAUCGCUAGUAAUCGCUGAUCAGCAGGCAGCGGUGAAUACGUUCCCGGGC